GUGCCAGCAGCCGCGGUAAUACGUAGGGUGCGAGCGUUGUCCGGAAUUACUGGGCGUAAAGAGCUCGUAGGUGGUUUGUCGCGUUGUCCGUGAAAACUCACAGCUCAACUGUGGGCGUGCGGGCGAUACGGGCAGACUAGAGUACUGUAGGGGAGACUGGAAUUCCUGGUGUAGCGGUGGAAUGCGCAGAUAUCAGGAGGAACACCGGUGGCGAAGGCGGGUCUCUGGGCAGUAACUGACGCUGAGGAGCGAAAGCGUGGGGAGCGAACAGGAUUAGAUACCCUGGUAGUCCACGCCGUAAACGGUGGGUACUAGGUGUGGGUUUCCUUCCUUUAGGGAUCCGUGCCGUAGCUAACGCAUUAAGUACCCCGCCUGGGAAGUACGCUCGCAAGAGUGAAACUCAAAGAAAUUGGCGG
rnacentral:rRNA from 1 species